CCUACGGGAGGCAGCAGUGAGGAAUAUUGGUCAAUGGCCGGAAGGCUGAACCAGCCAAGCCGCGUGAAGGACGAAGGUGCCAAGCAUUGUAAACUUCUUUUGUCAAGGGACAAAAUCAGGCUCGAGAGCCUGACCGAGGGUACUUGAAGAAAAAGCAUCGGCUAACUCCGUGCCAGCAGCCGCGGUAAUACGGAGGAUGCGAGCGUUAUCCGGAUUUAUUGGGGUUAAAGGGUUCGUAGGCGGACUGUUACGUCAGCGGUAAAAGCCCGGGGCUCAACCCCGGCGAGCCGUUGAACCGGGCGGUCUUGAGAUGUCGAGAGGUAUGCGGAAUGCGAAGGGUAGCGGUGAAAUGCUUAGAUAUUGCGCAGAACUCCGAUUGCGAAGGCAGCAUACCGGCGGCGAUCUGACGCUGAGGCACGAAAGCGUGGGUAUCGAACAGGAUUAGAUACCCGAGUAGUC
rnacentral:rRNA from 1 species